rnacentral:lncRNA from 1 species
AGUAACAUCAAGGACCACCAGAUGGUGACACUGGGUCCUUGAGCAAUUCAAUUCAAAGGCCCAGGUCACCAACCAGGGGGCCAGACAGCCAACUAAUAAAUGUCCUCAGCUUCUAAGUGAAUAACCCUCUUGCUUCUGUCUUGUGAUCCCAGAUUCGAGAGUAGCAAUCUUCCCUUCUCCUUUAACACGGCCUUUAGCUCAUUGAGAUGCAGGGAAAACGAGUGGACACUUGUGAACUGCCUGGAGUUUCUGUGGACAACCAUCCUAACACAGCAAGGAGGACAGUGCCAGUGUCUGUGAGAGGACAGAGGCCAUCACUAAUGGCUGACUUCCCAGCUCCCUCACUGCAAGCCUGGGAUACAACAGCUACCAGAGAGGAUAUGACCCUCAGGUCCUGCACGUCUCCCAAGGACCAUGCUAAAGACCUCUCCUUGAUAUUACAUCUCUGUUUCUCCACAAAUUGUUUCCAAAACAUUUGUCUCCCUGGGCAUAUGGAUGGCUGUGUAGUCCAACUUGGCAGACCUCUGGAAGCCGAGACUUCCCUCAGCUACAGGUAGAAUUCAGGCUGUAUGACAAGACCAUACGAUUUUGAUAAUAACCUAUAUUCUCAUAGAGCCUGGGACACUCAAAAGUGCCAGUGCAAGUAGCCUGCAUGUGUAAGGAUAACUUUUGUUUUACUUGACCUUUAACUUUUGGAAUGAGCAUAGUUUU